AGAUUUCUGAAUUUUCUUACAUUAUUGUCAUGCUCAACUUCUAUUAUAUGUUGAAAAUUCUAGCAUUUUCAGGAAGUCUUAUUGUACAUAGGUAAAAAUAAUAAAAUAGAUUCAAGGAAGGAGGAAUAAAAACCCAAAACAACUUAAUUUAGAGGAAAAAUAAUCUGGAUUAUCUAUUCAAUUUAUAAGUACCUACAGUUAUUUUGGCAUUUCAAAAUAACCAAGCAUGGUAUCUCAAGUUAUAUUCAUGCAUUCAAAACUUCUUUAUGGUCCACUAAUAAAUAUUGAUCAACUCCAAAAUAUGGAUAUAGAUUAUUAAGUACAAUGAACAUAGCAAAAAUUUACACAUGUUCAAUAUGAUAAAUUUUACAAGAAUCGAACACAUUGAAAUUAUUUUUAAUAUUUAGCAAACAUCUUAAAAUCAUAUACAAGAAACACUGUAUUUAUGACAAAUAGGUUAAAGCAAGACGGAAAAAAUCAAGUCUUACAUUAUUCCAGUAUUCGGUGUUCAUUGUUCAGUGAAAAGCAAUAUAGAAAAGUACUCACCAAAAUGACCAUCAAUUGAGAUUACCUUUUAAGACAGUAAGACUAAAAUCUUCACUACCCAAGAGACGUAGAGGAUUAAGGUAAUUAUACAUGUAAUUCAAGAGAAGAAAUUCACUUUCACCCCCAUUAAGUGAAUAUUCAAGUUAACACUAUUUUGGAGUUUUACUUUCCUAUAUCAAUUUCCAGUUCAUUAUAUUUUCUUCAUAAUGUUUGUUAGCAGUCAUUUAGUGGAAACUAAUAGCAGUGCUGAGGAAUCUGCUCUGAGUAUUAUGUCAGUGUAAAUGUCCAGUAAAUCUACCUCCAAAAUACCCUCUUAAAAAACGUAUCACUUUACAGUGGAAAAAUCUAACAGACACUACCUCAGUCAGACGAUGAUGUUCAACAUCAACAAUAAGUCAUGUUGAUGAUGGUAUGUACCUUUGAUAUGGUGUGAUAUGAAUGGCACUUCUGUGGUCUUUCCUCCAAAAUCUAAUAACACCUGUCUAUUCAUGGGAAAACGAUCAGAAAAAUUCCAGUUGAGGGACAUCUUACAAAAUACUAGGCCUGUAACUCCUCAGUACUGCCAGGGUUAUCAAAAACAAGAGAAAUUUGAGAAAACAUCAUAGCUAAGAGGGUAACAUGAUGACUAAAUGUAAUACCAUAUCUUGAACAAAAUCCUGGAACAGGAAAAAAAAAAAAAUUAUGAAAAGCAAAGAAGGGCAGGGAAACCUGGCAUGCUGCAGUCCAUGGUGUCUCAGAGAGUCGGACAUGACUGAGCAACCGAACAACAGCAAAGGAAUCUGAAUAAAGUAUGGACUUAAUAAUGCAUUGAUAUUGGUUCACUGGAGAAGGAAAUGGCAACCUACUCCAAUAGUCUUGCCUGAAAAAAAUCCCAUGGACAGAGGAGUGGUGGGUUACAGUCUCUGGGGUUGCAAAGAAUUGGACGGGACUUUGUGACUGAACAUCCAUGUAUCGGUUCAUUUAUUGUGACAAAUGUUUCAUGGCUGUGACAUGUAUGGAUCCUAUCUGUACUAUCUUUUCACUUUUUCUGUAAAUCUAAAACUAUUCUAAAAUAAAAAGUUUAAUAAAAAAUUUUAUGAACACACAACUACCUUUUAUUCUCUUACUUUCGUGAUAAACUUAUUUUAAAAAUCAUACUACCUUAAUAGUAAAAAGCAUGCUUUCUAUUCCAUGGCAGUGUCAAUGUUUUCUACUGGCUAUCUUUUUUAACUUGGGUUUUAGCUCUGACUCCUACAUAUAUACUUGGCAGAUUAACUGAAAAAUUCUUCCUAUGCUUGGGAAUGUUUAUUUCCUGUGGAAUUUAAAUUUUCAAAUGAUUUCUCUUAAACUUCGAUUUAAACCUACAAUAUUAUACACCCACUCACACAUCUGCAUAUACACAUCUAAAUAUAUCUGUGUGUGUGUCAUUGAAAGAAACAUUUCUUGUUUGUAGAUUGAGUAUGAUGUUGGUGAACUGAGAACAGUGAUUUUGAAUCACAUUAUUGAACAAAGCAAAGACAUAUUCAUAUAUUCUUCUGUCUUAAAAUGAGCUUGAUCGUAUUUUUUGAAUGAAUAAUUCAAUCAGAUUUUUAAAGUACAGUUUCAAAAAAAUCUUGGCAAGUGCAUUGAAGGCACUUAAUGCAUUCAUUCUUGAAAUGGGAAUUACUGAGCUAGAGAACUUUGAUAUAAUAAUAUGUAACACUUCAUUCUAUGUUUAAUUCAUUCUCAUGGCAAUCCUGUAAAUUUUUAUAUUCUUCAUUUGAAGAGAAAGAAACAGGUUCAGAGAGGAUAAAUGAUUUGCCCAAGGUCACAUGAGACAGAAGUAUAACUGGAAGACAAAUGUAUAACUAAAGACUGGUAUUUGGAAAGAAAAUGUAUCCCUCUGUGGAUUGUUGUGUGUUCCAAGGAUACUACUAAGAGUGCUGCAAGGAAGAUCUGAAACAAGUUUUUGAUAUCAGUUUCACUGGUAAAUAUUUGCAGUUGUAAUAACUAAACUUUUUAUGGAUUGUUUUCUCAGAAGAACAAACAUUUUAUAUUGGUCAGAGAUUAAAAACAAAAAACUGAAAAGGGCAUACAAAGUGUUUGCAAGUUAUAUUUUGAAAACUAAGGUCAUAAAGUGUCAGUAUAAAUACAGGUAAAAAAACAAUUCUAGAAAUAUCUUUCCCACUUU
rnacentral:lncRNA from 1 species